CCUACGGGAGGCUGCAGUCGAGAAUCAUUCACAAUGGGGGAAACCCUGAUGGUGCGACGCAGCGUGGGGGAAUGAAGGUCUUCGGAUCGUAAAACCCUGUUGUUAGGGAAGAAAGUGCGUGAGAGUAACUGUUCACGUUUCGACGGUAUCUAACCAGAAAGCCACGGCUAACUACGUGCCAGCAGCCGCGGUAAUACGUAGGUGGCAAGCGUUAUCCGGAUUUAUUGGGCGUAAAGGGAACGGAGGCGGUCUUUUAAAUCUGAUGUGAAAGCCUUCGGCUUAACCGGAGUAGUGCAUUGGAAACUGGGAGACUUGAGUGCAGAAGAGGAGAGUGGAACUCCAUGUGUAGCGGUGAAAUGCGUAGAUAUAUGGAAGAACACCAGUGGCGAAAGCGGCUCUCUGGUCUGUAACUGACGCUGAGGUUCGAAAGCGUGGGUAGCAAACAGGAUUAGAUACCCCUGUAGUC
rnacentral:rRNA from 1 species